rnacentral:rRNA from 1 species
GAUGAACGCUGGCGGCGUGCCUAAUACAUGCAAGUCGAGCGAACGGACGAGAAGCUUGCUUCUCUGAUGUUAGCGGCGGACGGGUGAGUAACGCGUGGAUAACCUACCUAUAAGACUGGGAUAACUUCGGGAAACCGGAGCUAAUACCGGAUAAUAUUUUGAACCGCAUGGUUCAAAAGUGAAAGACGGUCUUGCUGUCACUUAUAGAUGGAUCCGCGCUGCAUUAGCUAGUUGGUAAGGUAACGGCUUACCAAGGCAACGAUGCAUAGCCGACCUGAGAGGGUGAUCGGCCACACUGGAACUGAGACACGGUCCAGACUCCUACGGGAGGCAGCAGUAGGGAAUCUUCCGCAAUGGGCGAAAGCCUGACGGAGCAACGCCGCGUGAGUGAUGUAGGUCUUCGGAUCGUAAAACUCUGUUAUUAGGGAAGAACAUAUGUGUAAGUAACUGUGCACAUCUUGACGGUACCUAAUCAGAAAGCCACGGCUAACUACGUG